rnacentral:rRNA from 1 species
UACGGAGGGAGCUAGCGUUGUUCGGAAUCACUGGGCGUAAAGGGCGCGUAGGCGGCCUGAUAAGUAGGGGGUGAAAUCCUGCGGCUUAACCGCAGGGCUGCCUUCUAAACUGUCAGGCUCGAGCACAGUAGAGGCAGGUGGAAUUCCCGGUGUAGCGGUGGAAUGCGUAGAGAUCGGGAAGAACAUCAGUGGCGAAGGCGGCCUGCUGGGCUGUUGCUGACGCUGAGGCGCGACAGCGUGGGGAGCAAACAGG